AUGGGAACGCGAAGAACCUUACCUAGACUUGACAUCUUCUGCAUUAAUCGUAAUGGAUGAAAUCCCUUCGGGGACAGAAUGACAGGUGGUGCAUGGUUGUCGUCAGCUCGUGUCGUGAGAUGUUGGGUUAAGUCCCGCAACGAGCGCAACCCCUAUUAUUAGUUGCUAACAUUAAGUUGAGCACUCUAGUGAGACUGCCCGGGGUUAACCGGGAGGAAGGUGGGGAUGACGUCAAAUCAUCAUGCCCCUUAUGUCUAGGGCUACACACGUGCUACAAUGGUGGGAACAAAGAGAUGCAAUACCGCGAGGUGGAGCUAAACUCAAAACCCCAUCCCAGUUCGGAUUGUAGGCUGAAACUCGCCUACAUGAAGCUGGAGUUGCUAGUAAUCGCGAAUCAGAAUGUCGCGGUGAAUACGUUCCCGGGUCUUGUACACACCG
rnacentral:rRNA from 1 species